rnacentral:rRNA from 1 species
GGACGGGAUAAGUGCUGAAAGCAUCUAAGCAUGAAGCCCCCCUCAAGAUGAGAUUUCCCAACUUCGGUUAUAAGAUCCCUCAGAGAUGAUGAGGUUAAUAGGUUCGAGGUGGAAGCGUGGUGACACGUGGAGCUGACGAAUACUAAUCGAUCGAAGACUUAAUCAA